rnacentral:rRNA from 1 species
UACGUAGGGUGCGAGCGUUAUCCGGAAUCACUGGGCGUAAAGCGUACGUAGGCGGCUCGUUAAGUGUGAUGCGAAAUCCAGCGGCUCAACCGUUUGGACUGUAUCGCAUACUGGCGGGCUAGAGGAUGGCAGAGGCAAGUGGAAUUAGUAGUGUAGCAGUGAAAUGCGUAGAUAUUACUAGGAACACCAAUGGCGAAGGCAGCUUGCUGGGCCACCCCUGACGCUGGAGGUACGAAAGCGUGGGGAGCGAACAGG